GCAGACCCCUCGUGCGGCGUCACCCCGCUGAACUCCCCCAGGGCCGGAAGGCAGCAAGGGCAGGUGGGCUCUGGCGGGUGCGCGAGGGGUCCUCCGC
rnacentral:SRP_RNA from 1 species